ACCGGNUCCANGCCCCCGCGGUAACACCCGGCGCGCCCGAGCUGGUAAUCCCUUUUAUUUGGGUCUANAAGGGUCCGUAGCCGGUUUGAUCAGUUCUUCGGGAAAUCUGACAGCUCAACUGUUAGGCUUCCAGGGAAUACUGUCAGACUUGGGACCGGGAGAGGUCAGAGGUACUNCAGGGGUAGGAGUGAAAUCUUGUAAUCCCUGUNGGACCACCAGUGGCGAAGGCGUCUUACCAGAACGGGUCNGACGGUGAGGGACGAAAGCUGGGGGCGCGAACCGGAUUAGAUACCCGCGUAGUCCCAGGCCGUAAACGAUGUUCGCUAGNUUUAAGGGGGCGCUCCGACCGCUUCUAGUGUCGUAAGAGAAGCUUAAAGCANNCCCCUGAANGAGCGUC
rnacentral:rRNA from 1 species